ACGCUAGCUACAGGCUUAACACAUGCAAGUCGAGGGGAAACGACAUCGAAAGCUUGCUUUUGAUGGGCGUCGACCGGCGCACGGGUGAGUAACGCGUAUCCAACCUGCCCACCACUUGGGGAUAACCUUGCGAAAGUAAGACUAAUACCCAAUGACGUCUCUAGAAGACAUCUGAAAGAGAUUAAAGAUUUAUCGGUGAUGGAUGGGGAUGCGUCUGAUUAGCUUGUUGGCGGGGUAACGGCCCACCAAGGCGACGAUCAGUAGGGGUUCUGAGAGGAAGGUCCCCCACAUUGGAACUGAGACACGGUCCAAACUCCUACGGGAGGCAGCAGUGAGGAAUAUUGGUCAAUGGACGAGAGUCUGAACCAGCCAAGUAGCGUGCAGGAUGACGGCCCUAUGGGUUGUAAACUGCUUUUAUAAGGGAAUAAAGUGAGUCUCGUGAGACUUUUUGCAUGUACCUUAUGAAUAAGGACCGGCUAAUUCCGUGCCAGCAGCCGCGGUAAUACGGAAGGUCCGGGCGUUAUCCGGAUUUAUUGGGUUUAAAGGGAGCGUAGGCCGGAGAUUAAGCGUGUUGUGAAAUGUAGACGCUCAACGUCUGCACUGCAGCGCGAACUGGUUUCCUUGAGUACGCACAAAGUGGGCGGAAUUCGUGGUGUAGCGGUGAAAUGCUUAGAUAUCACGAAGAACUCCGAUUGCGAAGGCAGCUCACUGGAGCGCAACUGACGCUGAAGCUCGAAAGUGCGGGUAUCGAACAGGAUUAGAUACCCUGGUAGUCCGCACGGUAAACGAUGGAUGCCCGCUGUUGGUCUGAAUAGGUCAGCGGCCAAGCGAAAGCAUUAAGCAUCCCACCUGGGGAGUACGCCGGCAACGGUGAAACUCAAAGG
rnacentral:rRNA from 1 species